UUUUAAAUGGCCGCAGUAUUUUGACUGUGCAAAGGUAGCAUAAUCAUUAGUUUUUUAAUUAAAAGCUUGUAUGAAAGGCUGGACGAGGUAAAAUCUGUCUCUAUUUAAAUUAUUGUAGAAUUUAACUUUUAAGUUAAAAGGCUUAAAUAUUAUUAAAAGACGAGAAGACCCUAUAGAUCUUUAUAGUUUAUUAAAUUAAAUUAAUUUAGAAAUAUUAAUAUUUUAUUUAAUUAAGUUAUUUUAUUGGGGUAAUAAAAAGAUUGAAUUAAUUCUUUUUUAUAAUAAACAUUAAUUUAUGAAUAUUAAUGAUCCAGUUUUAUUGAUUAUAAGAUUAAGUUACCUUAGGGAUAACAGCGUAAUUUUUUUAGAGAGUUCAUAUCGAUAAAAAAGUUUGCGACCUCGAUGUUGGAUUAAAGAUUAUUUUAGGUGUAGAAGCUUAAUAAUUUUGGUCUGUUCGACCAUUAAAUCUUUACAUGAUCUGAGUUCAGACCGGCGUAAGCCAGGUCGGUUUCUAUCUUUAAUAAAAUAAAAUAUUUUAGUACGAAAGGACCAAAUAUUUGAUAUAUUUAUAUUUAAUUUAUUGAAUAUUA
rnacentral:rRNA from 1 species